rnacentral:antisense_RNA from 1 species
UGUUGUUAUAGAGAUUGCCUGUGAUUUUAAGGAAACACGAUAACCACCAUUUACUAUUUACCCUGUGUCAAGAAUGUGAUCCUCCUAGCAACCCAAUGAGUCAUAUUGCAUGACCCUCAUCUUAUGAAUGAAGAAACAGAAGCUCCAAGAGGUGCCACUCGCCCACAGUCAUAGAGCUGGUGGGAGAAUCACUGAGUGAGUCUGAGGACAGAGAAUGACACUGAGUUUUCAUUUCUAAUUUAACUAAGAAGUCUUAGUAGCUUAGAACAUUGAAAUAACUUCUUUUAAUUUUCACACAUAGCUGUGGCUUCCAAGAGAGAACAUCAAUGUUUUUGACCAACUCGUAAUUUCAAAGACUGGAAAAACCAUGCUUAUAUGCGCAGCCUGUGUUCUGAGGACCAGACUAGAGGAUGCUUGUUUAUGCCAGUAGAAAGCAAAGCCACUUCUAGAUCAGAUCACCUGCUGCUGACAGUCAGAUCAAAUCAAUAGCACUGAAUGAGCUCCUCCCACGGACAGUACAGCUGCCUGGAAUUUGAAUAUGGUAUCUGGAGCUUCAGUAGUCAUCCAGGACUGUAAGUGUGAAAGCCAUGCACUGAGAGUGGUGGAACAGAAGCCCUGUUUUCUUUAGAUGCUGACUCCUGCUGUCCACCAUAUCCUCGUGGUGCAAUGACUGGUGUAGACCGGCUUGUUGAGGUCACUCUCUGGAUCUGAGCAAUGUUGGCUGAGCCGUGACGAAGUACUCCUGUCCAUCCACUAUGCUUCACAGUGGGAAUCUCUCCCUGUUCACCACCACUGCCCUAGCAGCCGCAGGCCUUCUCCUCUUCAGAUGGACUGCAGGGAGCCACGAGACCCUAGUUUCAGCUGCUCAUCUUUGAGCACAGCCACUGCAUAGAGGGUUCAGUGAAGUGAGUGGGGCUCUUACUCCCCACCAAGCAGUGAGUGGCUUUCUGCUGUUCCACUCCAGAGGCCUCACCUCCUGUGUUUUUAAACUCCAGUUUCUGUCUUUCCCUGUUGGCACCAAACUUAUCUUCAUAAAAUAUAAAUCAAAUCACA